GUGCAGCAGUCGAGAAUCUUCCCCCAAUGGACGAAAGUCUGAGGGAGCGACGCCGCGUGAAUGAAGAAGCCCUUCGGGGUGUAAAAUUCUUUUUCUUUAGGAAAAAUUCGUGAUGGUACUAAAGGAAUAAGGGGCCGCCAAAACUCGUGCCAGCAGCGGGCGGUAAUACGAGUAGCCCCGAGCGUUAUCCGGAAUUACUGGGCGUAAAGCGCUAAAAGGCGGUUUGAUAA
rnacentral:rRNA from 1 species